ACACGCAUGACACACUGCAUAUCAAUAAGCGGAGGAAAAGAAACUAACAAGGAUUCCCUUAGUAACGGCGAGUGAAGCGGGAAGAGCUCAAAUUUGAAAUCUUCAAGGGUUCUACCUUGACGAAUUGUAGUUUAUAAGAAGUGUUUUCUGUUAGUAGAGGUGGCUAAAAGUUCUUUGGAAUAGGACAUCAUAGAGGGUGAGAAUCCCGUAUUUGGAUCAUUCUUUCUAACGUUGUGAUACACUUUCAACGAGUCGGAUUGUUUGGGAAUGCAGUCCAAAAUGGGUGGUAAAUUUCAUCUAAAGCUAAAUAUUGGCGAGAGACCGAUAGCGAACAAGUACCGUGAGGGAAAGAUGAAAAGAACUUUGAAAAGAGAGUUAAACAGUACGUGAAAUUGUCAAAAGGGAAGCGUUUGACACCAGUGUUGUUUUUCCGAAAAUCAAUUACGAAUGGUUUGAUUUUGAGAGUUAUGACCUUCAUAAGCUUGCUUCUCUCUUUUACGAUACUUUCGUAAUGCACUUUUCGGUUAACAAGUCAACAUCAAUUUCUUUUGUUGUAAAAGGGUAAUGAGGAAGGUGGCUUUACUUUCGGAGUAAAGUGUUUAUAGCCUUGUAACCUCUGCAAUCGGAGAGAUUGAGGUCUGCAGCGUAGAUCCUUCGGGGUUAGAUACAUUUGUGCUAAGUUAUAGCUUUUCAUAGACAACUUGUCGACUAUGUUAAGUCUUGUACUUACUCGCAGUAUGCUAUUUUACCUACGCUUAGGAUGUUGAUCUACAGAGCGAGAGU
rnacentral:rRNA from 1 species